rnacentral:rRNA from 1 species
AUUGAACGCUGGCGGCAGGCCUAACACAUGCAAGUCGAACGAGUGGCGGACGGGUGAGUAAUGUCUGGGAAACUGCCCGAUGGAGUGGGAUAACUACUGGAAACGGUAGCUAAUACCGCAUACCAUCGGAUGUGCCCAGAUGGGAUUAGCUGGUAGGUGAGGUAACGGCUCACCUAGGCGACGAUCCCUAGCUGGUCUGCGAGGAUGAACAGACACACUGGAAUGGAGACACGGAUCAUACGCCUCCGGGAGGCAGCAGGGGGGAAUAUUGCACAAUGGGCGCAAGCCUGAUACAGCCAUGCCGCGUGUAUGAAGAAGGACUUAGGGUUGUAAAGUACUUUCAGCGGGGAGGCGUUACCGGCAGAAGAAGCACCGGCUAACUCCGUGCCAGCAGCCGCGGUAAUAC